rnacentral:lncRNA from 1 species
GUUUGGUUUAGGGUUAGGGCUAGGUUUACGCUUCGGAUUAGGGUUUGGGUUAGUGUUAGUGUUAGUGUUAAACUUUGCAUUACUGUUAGUGAUAGGGUGAGUGUUAGAGUUAGGUUUAUGGUUUUGGUUAGUGUUACGUUUAGGAUUAGGGAUAAGUUUAGGGUUAGUUUUAUGGUUCGGGUGAGGGUUAUGUUUAUGUUUAGGGUUAGAGUUAGGGUUAGGGUUUACCUUAGGGUUAGGUUUAGCGUGAGUGUUAGGGUUAGGGUUAGGUUUAGGUUUGGUGUUAGUGUUUGGGUUAGGGUUAAGGUUAGGGUUAAGGAUAGUUUUAGGGUUAGUGAUAGGUUUAGAAUUAGUGUUAGGUUUAAGGUUCUGGUUAGUGUUAUGUUUAGGAUUAGGGCUAGAUUGAGGGUUAGUUUAGUGUUAGGUUUAGGGUUAUGGUUAACCUAACGGUUAGGGUUAGUUAGGGUUAGGGUUUGAAUU